AUGGCCGGAGGAGCUCGCGGGCAUGGGGGUGCAGCGGGUCGCCGCCGCACGAGCGCGCCCGACACGACGCGGAGGCCAGCAGUUCCAGCUGGGCCGGCGUUGAGCGAUGGUUUUCAAAGCAGGUGUGUGACCGUGGCUGCCUCUCUCGCAACGGCGGCUGGAACACGUGAGCCCACUUCCAAAAGCUCAACGAGGCUCCCUACCGCGCACCAAGAGGUGCCGGGAAAGUGGAUGAGGAGCUCCUCAAUACCAAGCGUACAGUGGUGUCAGGAGAAGAAGGCGUUGCCGAGCGUAUCGCUGCUGUCAAGGAAGGGCACGCGUAUGCCCAUGCUUACUGGAGCUCGGCAGACGCGUUCUACCUUGGCGUUGAGUCAUGAGCCGACCAUCCCUAGGUUUAGAUUAGUUUGA
rnacentral:rRNA from 1 species